rnacentral:rRNA from 1 species
UCAGCGAUGGAUAUCUUGGCUC